rnacentral:lncRNA from 1 species
CCCGCCCCUCGGGGGUCGCGUGACGCCAGGUGGACGGGGGCUCGUGCCCCGGCGGGCGCUGAGGUGGUUCUGGCGGUCGGGGGGUGUUGUCGUGCUGCUCAGCACAGCUUUCGUUCCUCUGUACUCGGCGGAGUUUUUAUGCGUUGCCCUCAGGUGGGAUGAAUUUGACUGCAACAAAAGUCCACUGAGAUGCGUCAGUGUUUCCCGAAGGCUCUUAAUCUCUUAUAACUUCCUCUCCUUUUGGGGGCAGAGCUCCCAUCAGUGCGUACCGCACUGCAGCUGAUGGCGUUCACCCUCUGACACUUUGUUUCUGCUCGAUGUAACGCGAGGGUUUGGGGCGCCGCAGAACUACGUGGUUUCAUGGCAUCGUUUUUAGUUUAGAUCGGCAAAUCGUUAACAAUUACUUUCUGCUUAUCCGUAUCUUCGGAGUCUGGGGACGAGAUCCUUCCUCUUGCGAUCCAUCGGCACCUGAAGGAUCUCUGAAAGGAAACCGGUGGAACGUGUGAGGGCUUCCUCUGGCGGAAAAGAACAAGACGAAAUAAGGCACUAGGGAAGCUAAUGUGAGACACUAGUGCCCAAAUCACUUUAGACACGACUGAUAUGGCUGAUGAGGUGGUGCAGACACAGCAGGGCUGAGCCACCAGGGCCAGCAGAAACACGGCCCAUUGUCAGAGCAGAGCUGGUGAGUGCACUUCUUUGUGCUCCUGUCGAGAGGGCUGAGGUAGGAGUUCCACUGCUGUAGCAGGAAGGUCACUGCCAUUGUAACAACACUAAGAAAAAGGCAAGUGGCUGCGUUUCAGAGCUGUGAUUUUGUCUUAAUCCUUCCAGGUCAACAUUUUCGCCACCCUGGACUGGGUAACACACUGUGGUUCUUCAGUUUCU